GUAAGAGAGAGUUGGUUUAAGAACUGCAGGCCUCUAGUUGAAAUAAAAAUUGCAGGCUUGUAGUAGCAGGUUCCAGCCUUUAAGUGGCGUGCAUGCCAAAUAGUGAUUGCUGACAUCAUGCAGGAUCUUUUUUUCCCUAUCUUGGCACUGAUUAGAAAAAGAUGAUGGAACCAACUAGUGCCUUGACAGAGAUCAAGGGCUACCAACCCAUUCAUUAUCCAAGAAAACUACAAUUUGUCCCUUGACAAUCAGUACAAAAACUAAAAGGACCAUUUGAAACAUUCUUAAAAAAGCUGGAUUCACCAGGCACAUACUUUUCAUGGGACUGUUACCGUAACUCCUAAUCCUUUAUCAAAAUGCUCACCUUUUCACGGAGGGAUUCACAGUUGUGGCAUCAGAUUUGGAAAUGAUUGCUGAACAACCCCAAGAACAACACUGCAGGUGGCAGCACCAGCACUUCCCAACUUACUGUACUCGUCAGCAGAAUGGAAAUAGGUGUGAAGAUUGAAAGAGCAUUUCGUGGUGGCACAGUGUAUGGGGAAAACUUUGCUUAAUCUGUGGAGGGAGACGAGUUAGAAAACUUGUAUUGCCAUAGUUAUUACUUGAUGUAUUUUACAAAGAACUGAAACUGUUAAUCAAUGAAAAGGAUGAAAUCACUCUCCGUUUCAAGCUUUUACAAGCAUUGACUAGAUAUCUUAUGGACAAAAUGACAGCAAUAUAGAUUACAAGAAGCAUGCAAUAGAAUCUUAAAUUACUAAAUGUAGUAGAGGAUUACUUUUAGACCCAAUGUUACCACAGCCCUAGAUAAUUCACUUCAUGACCUCAUUCUUAUGAAUGUCCAGGAUUUCAAGUCAUUUAGAAGAAUCGAACAGGGCUAGUAAGUAUCGAAGUCAUUCAAAUAUUAGAUCAUCUGUUUGUCAUCUCCAGAAGUAACGAAUAUAUACAAUAGAGAGGAUCAAUUUAAUCAGUGAGAGUAAUUACUGCUGUAAAUACCUUCACAAAGGGAUUGGUAAAUACCUUUAAAAGUGCAAUGGGUAAUUUCAUUUAGAAUGCUAAAGAAAAAAUGAAUUGUACCUAAUUCCUUUUAUUAUUAUAACUUAUUCUUCUGUUCUUAUGCACCGAUAAUACAAGGAAAAAAUGAUGGCAGACACUGACAAUGAAAAGAUUUUACUGUAUUAAAUUAGAAAAGAUGAAAAUGAUACGAGCUGCAGACACAAAGAGAAAGUGGAUAGAGGCAGAAAGAUAAUCACUGAAUUCAUGUUAGGACAAGCCAGCAAAGCUAAGGUCACUCUUUUGUUUGGCAGCAAGAAAAGAAUAGGAUUCCAGAAGCUCUUGACGAAGGGACUAAAAGCAGUGUGAAUAAGUGAAGCAAGCAAAAGAGCUGAGAGUUACUAUCAUAAAGCCAGAUUUUGAAAGGUUCCGGUUUACGAUAAUAAGUGUGAUUUUUCAUGCAAGAAUUGUUUUGCAGUCUUGUCUUCAGUCCUACCAUUGCAAAUUCAUUUCUAUUAAUUGAUCAUCUAAUCUGACUGGUUUAAUAUCUUAUUGGUAUUAUGUCCUGGAGGCUAAGCAAUAUUAAUAUAUUCUAAGGUCUUUAAACAGAUCUAUGCCAAACUAUAAUUGGAAAUAUAACUGGAUUUUUUCUAAAUACGUGGCUAGUUAUGCUGCAGCACAUUUGGUAUGCAGCCUUCUUAUCCUUAGUGAUAAAUAAAAGAAAAUGCAUGUUCAUACUUUUCUCCCCAAGGAAAUUAGUGUCCAGCGUUCUGUAUUAAACUGUAGUGAUUUUGCUUCAUAAAGGUACCUGGUUUUCAAUGCUAGACCCAUUAUUCUUCUUGCAGACAAGAGAGUUUCCUUUUAAGCUAUAUUCCAGUCAAGCACUGCUCCAUUAACCUUCUAUUCUGGAGUUAGAUUAAUAGAGAUGGUACACUUCACACUUAGUUGAUCUUUUCAACUGGAAAGUCACUGCUGAUGCUAAUAAAAUACUGAGGUUCUGCUGAGUGCCCCUUCUUUCUCUUCAAGGAUGCCAGUCCUACCUCAGUGUGCAAUCCAUUAAAGCAUGACCUUCUCUUACAAAGAGCGACAUUGCGUUAGCUUUAAAGACCCUUGCAUUCCAGUUCAAUUGUUCUGUAAUUUUCACAUAUAUCUCUUGUUAAUAACCAAAAGCCCUUCAGGUUGGAGGAGAAAAGAAGGAAGUUCAGGGGGUUUACACAGGCUUACAGCUUCAAUCUCAAAUAAUUGUCCUUUAGCUUAGUUGUAACAACAUUUAGAAUUAUCAUGGAACGUUUCUCACCAAAACUGUGUAUGUAGGUAUAAAUACAUGAAUGUUGGUAAGUUGGGUAUAGAUCCACUAGUUGGUGUGAUAAUUUCUUAAGGUACCUUCGCGAAUUUGUGGAAGAUCCAGUCUUAAAAGGAAUAUAUUCAGUGUUCUAUGCUCAUGAAUUUGAGGAAAUGCCAAACAGAAUUUUGACUGAAAUUAUAUAGAUUUGUACAUUAUGUAGCCACCUAAUUUGCUGUGAAAUAACAACUACUUUUUGUGCAAAAAUAUAAUUUAUUUUUGUGAAUAAUACAUUUAGUUAUUUACAUUCAAUGCUACUGUUGAUGAGAUUUAGGUUAUUGAUUUCAAAAAAAACGUUUGAAUAAAAAUAAUGAAGGUAUCCCUGA